rnacentral:rRNA from 1 species
GCACUCCCGGGGCGUCUCUAUCUCAUUACGAGAGGAGGCGCACCUAGAGCGUACACGCUGAUACCCGAAAGAUGGUGAACUAUGCCUGGCCAGGACGAAGCCAGGGGAAACCCUGGUGGAGGUCCGCAGCGAUUCUGACGUGCAAAUCGAUCGUCGGAGCUGGGUUUAGGGGCGAAAGACCAAUCGAACCAUCUAGUAGCUGGUUCCCUCUGAAGUUUCCCUCAGGAUAGCUUGCGCUCGGAAUGAAACGAGUCUCAUCCGGUAGAGCGAAUGAUUAGAGGCCUUGGGGUCGAAACGACCUCAACCUAUUCUCAAACUCCAAAUAGAUGAGAACCCCGGCUUUCUUGAAAGUUUUUCUAAUGAAGCCGGGGGCUUGGAUCAGAGUGCCAAGUGGGCCAAUUUUGGUAAGCAGAACUGGCGCUGUGGGAUGAACCAAACGCGGAGUUAAGGCGCCUCAAUCGACGCUCAUGUGAAACCAUGAAAGGCGUUGGUUGCUUAAGACAGCAG